UCUAUGUUCUUCUAUGUGGUGGUGAACUCUAAAACCUUUUCAGAGGUCUGCAAGAUGGCAGAUAUUAGAAAUUCACAAAGCUCUUUUUAGGAAGGUUCCACAAGGCAGCUGGAAUCCUCAAGCCUCAACUCAAAACUUGCUUGACAUUUGGCGUUCACCUCAGCUGAUUGGAGGUUACCAAUCUGAUGUCUCUUCUUCAGUGUGCUUCCAGUCUUUGGUUUGGGUUUUAAGUGGAG